GAUCUAUGAUCUAUCUGGAGGUACAGGUUGAAUUGCGUCCCAUACCAUAGACAUUGUGGGUGGUCUCAAUUUUCAUGUUCGCCUCUCAUGAUGGCUUGCAGUCGCCUUAGGCUGCCGCCUUGACAUGGUGCAAUCAAAAUCUGCACCCGCAUCUACUUCUGAACCCUGCUAGCUUGACACUAUAUAGCUGCAAUCUUUAAUUAUUCAGCAUCGCCUUUAUUAUGGCUCCUAACAACCGUGUAGUUUCCACCCCUCUGUCAAUCUUACUGCCCAAUAACCCAGUGCAGCAGCUUUCUGUUUGUUUUGCCCAUGUCCCAUGCAUUCCCAGUGUCAAGAUACGAGAGUCCUGCGCGGUUUUGCUUUUGCUCUCACGUCUCAUCUUUGGACAAUAUCUCAUGUGAUGUUUAAGAAAUUUUAUCUCAUUAUAAUAUACUUAAUAGACUAGAUUGUAGUUGGUAGCACUUAUUUCUUUUCUAUUUCAGGUAAAUUUUCUCUCUCAAAGUACAAAUCUGAUGCAAAGCCUUUGUAGUCCACGACUCAGGGAAUGAUCUCAUUCUGAACACAGGAAUACUACUACUUAUCUGUUUUCCUAUCGAGACUUAUCAUAUGUUUGGCAUUCCGCUGCAUGAUAAUGAACUUAAACAACCAGUCUUUUCCUUCAAUUUUGUUUAAGAAAAACCAAUCUGAGCAUAUACCUAUUUUCUAAUAGCAGAUUAUAUAAUAAGCUGGGGGAAAAGGUCAUUAUUUCUCUAUGUUUCUCUUAGAGGCAUAUGUCCAGUGAUGUUUAAUCAAUUUUAUCUCAUUACAAUAAAAUCAAUGGUCUGGAUCUUAUUAGAAAUUUUGUGGUGCAUAUGUCUUUAUGAUAUUAAACUAGAUUUAUAAAACAAUUCAGUCAUGGCAGCUCUUAUUUCUUUUCUAUUUCAGGUGAGGUCAAAUAAUUAAUAGACUGACAACUAGGGCAUUCAUCUACAUACAUGGUGGGACUUGAAACUUUAUUUGUUAGUACAAAAUGAUAUUCUUUUGUUGUGGAGAUGCAUAUGAUAAACUCUGCGUCACUGCAAGAGUUAACUUAAAUUAUUGUACAAAUGGUUUUCUCUCAGUUGACCACAAUAGCCAUUUUUAACAAGGUUGGCAUAAUGUUCUCAGUUUCUUCACUUGGAUCUCACAUUGAGGUUGAAGCCACUUCCACACUGAGGUUGCCGUCUGGAGGAACCAUGAUGGACUGGUGACGCCACUAUUCAUACAACAACCUUUGUUCUCUGUUCCAGUAUACAGUUUGGAGAUGCCACAUAGAUAUAAUAAGCCGAAUAUUUAGAGUAUAUGGAUGCCGCUAUAUCUAAUUCUCCCAACAGUACUCAACACUAGGAUCUCCAAAAAAGGCUGCCAGCACAAAGUUAUUGAAUAACCUUAUAUUGUGUGCUGAUCUAGGUACGGAACUGAUUCACCUCUUCAUAGGUUUCUAGCUCUCGGAUUUUUUGUUCAUGUUGCAACAACAUUACAUCAUUUUUACAGUCAAAAUUAAUGCAGAAUCCAUUUCUCUGUACUAAUGCCCACACUCCUAUCUGUCUUUCCGGACUAUUGUUCCAUUACUUUACUACUAUGCUUUGGUAACUGGAGUUAUUAAUUUGGAAGUCUAAUGACUUCUGUAUGCGUGGUUUGCUUGCAUAGAAGAUUAAUCCUGCAGAACAUUGGCAACAAAGUAUAUAUCAGAGCAAGAGAGUAGAGCUAGAUUAAACAAUCCUCACCAGCCUUCAUCCGUACUGAUGUGGAUGCAAACAGGAGCAGCAAUCUGACCCGGAACCGGGCAAUCCACAGCAAUUGUUUAAAACCAACGCGUCAACUUGAUUGCUUGGUGACGUCGAGUCAGAUUCUUAUCCGGUUUUGUUUGCAGCGGAAAAAACGAUCUAUACUCGGAUUCAACGGGUCGCCGUGCAACGCGUGAGGCGCCGCACAUGAACCCUAAAAACUCUACAAAUCUCGUAUCUGCUGGCUCCAAGAAUUCGAACCAUAACUCUGAUCUUCCCACGA